AUGGAGCCGACAGAGGACAUUGAGUUCCUCUGGAAGUGGCGCAAGUACCUGCUGCUGCUCGCCACGCUGGUCGCCAGCGUCACCUACGGCGCCGGCCUCAACCCGCCCGGCGGCGUGUGGUCCAAGGACCACGAUGGAGGCAACACCCCACAGCAGCGCCCCCGCGCCGUCAACCCGCCGGCGCCCCCGUCCCUUGCGGUGUCCCCGGCGCCGGCGGUCUACCCAUUCCGCGUCGGCGAUCCCGUGCUGGUGUCCACCUACUCGGCCCGGUACACCGCCUUCUUCUACUGCAACGCCACAGCCUUCGUGGCGUCGCUGGUCAUCAUCAUGUUCCUGCUGGAUCGGCGCCUCAGCGGCAACCGCGUCGGCCUCACCGUGCUCCGCUCCGCCAUGCUGCUUGACCUGCUGGCUCUCAUGGCCGCCUUCGCUGCCGGGAGCUGCCGCAGCGUGCCUGGGUCCAUCUAUGUCUCCUUGCUCUUCGCCGUCGUCUUCGUCUACGUCGCCAUCCACCUCCGCGUGGCCUCGAGGACGGAAGCGCCGGCCGCGGACGCGGAGGAGAAGAGGCGCCUCAAGGAGCAGCGCAAGUUCCUGCUGCUGCUGGCCACCUUCGCGACGCCGCUGGCGUACGGCGCGGGGCUGGCGCCGCCGGGAGGCUUCUGGAGCGAGACCCAGGAUAUGCACCGCGCCGGCGCUCCGCUGCUGCACGACGGGCCCUACAAGAUCCGCUACCACAUAUUCUUCUACGCCAAUGCCAACUCCUUCGUGGCCUCCCUCGCCAUCAUCAUGCUGCUCAUGAGCAGGACGCUAAGCGACCGUCUCGUCCGGUCCAAAGCUUUGCUUGUGUGCGUCCUGGGGGAACUGCUUGGCCUCAUGAUCGCUUAUGCCGCCGGGAGCUGCAGGUGGAUCCCCACCACCGUGUACAUCGUCUCCCUCGUCGGCGCCGUGGUCAUCUACAUUGUGUUGGUGCCAGCGUUCGGCCUCGACGCGAUCGAAGAAUGGCGUAAGAAACUCGUUGCCUGUGUUGGCCUUGGGCCAAAAGGUGAUGGGCAAGAAGUUGCAGCGAGGACAAUCAACAUCGGUGCUCGGCAAGAAGUUGCAGCGAGGACAAUCAACAUCGAAGAAAAGCUGGAGCAGACGCGGUCGCUUGUGCUGCUGCUGGCCACGCUGGCGGCGACGGUGACGUACCAGGCAGGGCUGAGCCCGCCGGGCGGCGUCUGGCCCGAAGGGCAUCAGAAUCGCAUCGCGGGGAACCCGGUUCUCCACGACAUGCACCUCAAGAGGUACAUGGCCUUCUACCACUGCAACACGGCGGCGUUCGUGGCGUCCGUGGUUGUUAUCAUCAUCGUCCAGAGCAAGGUGCUGAGCACCGUCUGGGGUGCCAUGCUCCUCAAGACUGCCAUGAUACUGGACCUGUUCGGCCUCAUGGGCGCCUAUGUUGCCGGGAGCUGCCGGGAUCCCACCACCACCAUCUUCGUCGCCGCGCUGGCCGUCGCCGUCUUCCUCUACACCAUGGCCAAGGUCGUGGGCAAGCAGAGCUGGCUGGCACGGUGGGUGCAACGCAUGCUUGUAGCGUUGCUCCCCCCUGAGUUGCCCCGGAAAGGAGGAGGAGACGCACCUCAAGCUAUCAACCUCCCCGACGAGCCGUCCCAGCAAGGAGGAGAAGCACCUCAAGAAGCUUUCCAUGUCAUCCACAAUCCUGACGAGUCGUCCCGGCAAGGAGAAGAAGCGGCGCAUGUUCCUGCUGCUGCUGUUGUGCACCUUGGUGGCGAGUCGUUCCGGCAAAGAGGAGAAGAAGCAACUCAAGGAGCGGCACAAGUUCCUCCGCUUGGAUCUGAGCGUAUUCUUGAAGAAAAAAAGCUCGAGAGGAAGCGCAAGUUCUUGCUGCAACUCGCCAUCCUCGCCGCCACCGUCACGUACCAGACAGGGCUGAACCCGCCGGGCGGAUUCUGGACGGAGAGCAAUGGGGAUAAGUUAGUCACCGCCGGCGACCCAAUCCUCCUCGACUACUACGGGGUCAGAUACCAGGUGUUCUUCUACUGCAACGCGGCGGGGUUCAUGGCGUCCGUCACCGUCAUUCUCCUCCUGGUGAACCAGACGUUGUCCAAGCCGGGCAUCCGGACCAAGGCGCUCUACGUAUGCGUCAUGGUCGGGCUACUGGGCCUCAUGGGCGCCUACGCCGCAGGCAGCUGCCGGAAGCUGCGCACCUCCAUCUAUGUCUUUGCACUCGUGGCGGCCGUCGUGGCCUUCCUCAUCCUGGAGAUCCUACUUCAUUGGCUCGGCCGCAGGGGUUGGUCCAAGUGCCUCCCUAAGUGCCUAACGAGGCUGUUUGAGACAUUGUCGACUGGGCCGGGCGGUGGCAGCAAGAACAAGAGCGAUCAGGAGGUGAUCACCACCGUGGAUAAACUAGAGAGCGAGGACUAUGAGAAGCGUAAGUACCUGAUGGUGCUCGGCAUCCUGGCGGCGAGCGUGACGUACCAGGCUGGUCUCGCGCCUCCCGGCGGCACGUGGGGCGACGACGAUACCGCUUCGUCGUCGCCCUUGCCGUCCCCAUCGGCACACCCACCCACCGUCGCCGGCAACCCGAUCCUGCUUGACUUCAAUGCUGCACGGUACCAGGCCUUCUUCUACUGCAACGCAACGUCGUUCGUGGCCUCGGUCGUCGUCAUCUUGAUGCUGCUGCAACGCACCACGAAGAAGCAGCAGCCCGGCGCGCCACUGCGGGCAUUGCAGACCGCUGUGGUCCUGGACCUGCUCGGCCUGCUGGGCGCGUACGCCGCUGGCAGCUGCAGGGACUGGGAGACGUCAUCGUACGUCAUCGCGCUCGUCGCGGCAGUGGUCGUCUUCACCUUGAUCUACGUGUUGUUGUCAUUCAACGUCGUGCGGGCAAAGGCCGAGGAGCUCACGGUGUGGAAAUACUUUUCACAAAAGGGGUUGAACUACUCGGGAGCACGCAAUGAUCAUGAUCAGCCAGCCGGAAAUGGUGUGUAA
rnacentral:rRNA from 1 species